GUGCUCACUUUGGCAGCACGUAGACUAAAACUAGAAAGAUAAAGAGAAGAUUAGCACGGCCCCUUUGCAAGGAUGACAUGGGAAUUCAUGGAGUGUUCCAUAUUUUU
ensembl:snRNA U6 U6 spliceosomal RNA